GGACUACUCGGGUUUCUAAUCCCGUUUGCUCCCCUGGCCUUCGUGCCUCAGUGUCAGGAACUGUCCAGAGACCCGCCUUCGCCACUGGUCUUCCUUACGAUCUCUACGCAUUUCACUGCUACACCGUAAAUUCCAGUCUCCUCUCCAGUCCUCAAGCACAGCAGUAUCGAAUGCAGUCCCGGGGUUGAGCCCCGGGAUUUCACACCCGACUUACCACGCCACCUACGCACCCUUUACGCCCAAUGAAUCCGAACAACGCUUGAGACCUCUGUAUUACCGCGGCUGCUGGCAC
rnacentral:rRNA from 1 species